AAGUCUAUACUUUCUGGAAUCAUUUCUGUAGUUCCUCACUGGAGAAGUUUCUCUGGCUGUGUAGAGUAUGGAGAUGGUGCAGUGUUCUCUCCUAAGUGUGAAGCUGGCCCUGGGUGUUGUUUUGUGCAAAUGCCCAUAAUGAUUGAUGAUUGUUCUUCUCUCCCCUGGAAUAGUUCGAGGGAGAGAACACAGUCUGA
rnacentral:snoRNA from 1 species